rnacentral:rRNA from 1 species
UACGGGGGGUGCAAGCGUUAUUCGGAAUUAUUGGGCGUAAAGGGUGCGUAGGCGGGGGGAUAAGUCUAUCGUGAAAGGCCACGGCUUAACCGUGGAAUGGCGGGAGAUACUGUAUGUCUUGAGUGCGGGAGAGGAGGGUGGAAUUCCCAGUGUAGCGGUGAAAUGCGUAGAUAUUGGGAAGAACACCGGUGGCGAAGGCGGCCCUCUGGACCGGUACUGACGCUGAGGCGCGAAAGCUAGGGGAGCAAACGGG